CAAAAAGUGGAACGUGAAACAAAUGCAUAGCAAUUGUUACACUGAACUAAGUCUGCCAUUCCAAUUAGGAGAAUAAUUUAAAUCUAACAAAUCUUAACUUUGUAUUUAUCCUCCUGAAUACCUCAGAUUACCUCCAGGUUAUCUCCAGAAUAUCUCCAACUACACACUUAGAAGUAGCACCAAGCUAUAUUAGACAAGCUAAUGACACCAAGC